CACACCGCCCGUCACACCAUGGAAGCCAGCUGUACCGGAAGUCGGUGCGCCAACCCGUAAGGGAGGUAGCCGCCCAUGGUAUGACUGGUGACUGGGGUG
rnacentral:rRNA from 1 species